GUACUUUUGCUGCUCUUAAGGGCUACUUUGCCAAUUCAGAGGAAACGCCAAGCAUCACAAAGCAUUUUAGUAAAGAUUAAGGGAAAGCAGACCUGAAUUAAAACAUUUAACAGAACAAAGGACUUGAGACAGAAGAAUUCCCCAGAUGUCUGGCUUAGUUCAAUGAUUUAUUGCUCUGAUCCCUAUUUGAAUGGACAGGAAAAAGAACAGGCUCACCUACAUGAA
rnacentral:lncRNA from 1 species